CUAAGGCCAGCGAGAGAACUGUUGUUAAGGAACUCGGCAAAAUGACCCCGUAACUUAGGGAUAAGGGGUGCCACCAUCAGGUGGCCGCAGAGAAUAGGCCCAAGCGACUGUUUACCAAAAACAUAGGUUUCUGCUAAGUCGCAAGACGAUGUAUAGGAGCUGACGCCUGCCCGGUGCUGGAAGGUUAAGGGGAUCUGUUAGAGCAAUCGAAGCAGUGAACUUAAGCCCCAGUAAACGGCGGCCGUAACUAUAACGGUCCUAAGGUAGCGAAAUUCCUUGUCGGGUAAGUUCCGACCCGCACGAAAGGCGUAACGAUUUGGGCACUGUCUCAACAACAGACUCGGUGAAAUUGUAAUUCCGGUGAAGAUGCCGGAUACCUGCGACAGGACGGAAAGACCCCAUGGAGCUUUACUGUAGCUUGACAUUGGGUCUUGGUACUACAUGUACAGGAUAGGUGGGAGGCUUUGAAACCAGGACGCCAGUUUUGGCGGAGCCAUCCUUGGGAUACCACCCUUGUAGUACUGGGACUCUAACCAUAGGCCAUGAAUCUGGUCUUGGGACACUGUCAGGUGGGCAGUUUGACUGGGGCGGUCGCCUCCCAAAAGGUAACGGAGGCGCUCAAAGGUUCUCUCAGUACGGUCGGAAAUCGUACGUAGAGUGUAAAGGCAAAAGAGAGCUUGAUUGCAAGACAUACAGGU
rnacentral:rRNA from 1 species